rnacentral:piRNA from 2 species
AAGAUGAGAUCGUACAUCAUGGUUC